CAAAGGAAUUGACGGGGCCCGCACAAGCGGUGGAGUAUGUGGUUUAAUUCGAUGCAACGCGAAGAACCUUACCUGGUCUUGACAUCCCGGAGACCCUUAGGAAACUAGGGGGUGCUUCCAUCUGGAAGAAUCUGGAGACAGGUGCUGCAUGGCUGUCGUCAGCUCGUGUCGUGAGAUGUUGGGUUAAGUCCCGCAACGAGCGCAACCCUUGCCUUUAGUUGCCAGCAGUUCGGCUGGGCACUCUAAAGGGACUGCCGGUGUUAAACCGGAGGAAGGUGGGGAUGACGUCAAGUCCUCAUGGCCUUUAUGACCAGGGCUACACACGUACUACAAUGGCCGAUACAAAGGGCAGCGACACUGCGAGGUGAAGCCAAUCCCGUAAAAUCGGUCUCAGUCCGGAUUGGAGUCUGCAACUCGACUCCAUGAAGUUGGAAUCGCUAGUAAUCGUGGAUCAGCAUGCCACGGUGAAUACGUUCCCGGGCCUU
rnacentral:rRNA from 1 species